UACAGAGGGUGCGAGCGUUGUUCGGAAUUAUUGGGCGUAAAGCGCGUGUAGGCGGCUUUGCAAGUCGGGUGUGAAAUCCCUCAGCUCAACUGAGGAAGUGCGCCCGAAACUGCAGAGCUUGAGUACCGGAGAGGAUGGCGGAAUUCCCGAAGUAGAGGUGAAAUUCGUAGAUAUCGGGAGGAAAACCAGUGGCGAAGGCGACUUCCUGGCCUGUUCUUGACGCUGAGGCGCGAAAGCUAGGGGAGCAAACGGG
rnacentral:rRNA from 1 species